rnacentral:rRNA from 1 species
CAAUAGCGUAUAUUAAAGUUGUUGCAGUUAAAAAGCUCGUAGUUGGAUUUCUGGUGGGAGCGAUCGGUCUGGCGCUUAGCGCGAGUACUUGCAUCGUCUCCGGCCAUCCUUGGGGAGAGUCUGUCUGGCAUUAAGUUGUCGGGCAGAGGAUCCUCAUCGUUUACUGUGAAAAAAUUAGAGUGUUCAAAGCAGGCUUAUGCCGUUGAAUAUAUUAGCAUGGAAUAAUAAGAUAGGACUUUGGUACUAUUUUGUUGGUUUGCGCACCAAAGUAAUGAUUAAUAGGGACAGUUGGGGGUAUUCGUAUUCCGUUGUCAGAGGUGAAAUUCUUGGAUUUACGGAAGACGAACUACUGCGAAAGCAUUUACCGAGGAUGUUUUCAUUAA